ensembl:lncRNA
ACCCUACCUAUUCUCUUUUCAAGGAUCAAUCAUUCCUUUCAUCUCCUUGCAGCUGUAGACACUAUCUCAACCAGGUGUGAAAUGCAAUUAAGAAAUAAUUCUGAUCUCACAGUCUUUUUUUUUCUUAAUAGCAAUCCAAUGGAGGGUGAUUUUUAAACUUUCACAUCAGUACGGUUGAUGUUUUGUGACAGUAAAUGUGAUGCUGUGUCUCCAUGUUAUUAAGAAAGAAGCUGUCCCCAGAACCGGGGGCCGACUAGAGCAUCCACAUAGAUGAUACACCCUCUUAAACGCACUUGCCUGCCGUCCAGCGCGGCUCUUCUUGCUGUGUGUAAAGAACGCUAUGCUGACAGGAGCCCAAGUGCCACUUGUUGAAUAUAACCAGCGGCUGGGAGUGAUUUGCCAAGUACUCCAGAGACUGGUUCUACCCUCUGUAUCACAGGAAGAAAUUUGAGCAUUUGUAUCCUUUCAUCUGCUCUCCUCUCCGUGCAUGGAAGAGAAGCCCGUUUGGCCUAACGGUACAGGCGCGAAGGACUAACCCUCCUGGAAUAUCGAGCUUAUGUCUGCUUCCCAGACACAACCAGUGGAAUGUCUGGACCCCGUGCAGCUUUCUCCAAACUGCUGGCCACCCCACAGCAACCUGCGUUUCCUUCAAGCCUACCGUGUGAGCCAUUGCAGUAAGCUGGGCUGGACUGGAGCUCGUGCUCCCAUACUUCACACCACACGCAGAAAGUGAGAACAGACUUCACCUGACAUGGGUGGUGCUAGUCGUCUUCAAAUCUCACAGGCUUAGGUCUCUCCUAAGCAGGAAAAGCCCACUUCUGCCAAUCUGUAUUUUGGAGAUAUGGACUACCUUUACCUGUGUGGGUUGAGAUCAUAUAAGUCCUUUCACUGGUGAUACAAUUUGGAUUGGAACCAAGGUCAUAAGUCAUGACUGGUUUCCCUGGGAAGUCAACAGAAGUUUGGCAGGUGCAUACGCUCUGCAGGGCAGAAAGCAAGAGGAGAGACGCACAAGGAGAGAACUGAAAAUGAAGAAGUAAACAGGGACCCACACACUAAGCAGGCCUCACCUGAGAGUGGGUGCAUGCCCACCGCCACCAUGACCCACUGACACCAGAUUUCUAUGAGGGGGUCCACCGGCCUUUCCACAACAAAGGCCGAGCCCAUGAAGAACAAUCUGAUGUGUAGACUGAGGAAA